rnacentral:piRNA from 1 species
UNGGAUUACAAGUGUGUGCUACAGUGCC